rnacentral:rRNA from 1 species
GAUGAACGCUGGCGGCGUGCCUAAUACAUGCAAGUCGAGCGAACAGACGAGGAGCUUGCCCCUCUGACGUUAGCGGCGGACGGGUGAGUAACACGUGGAUAACCUACCUAUAAGACUGGGAUAACUUCGGGAAACCGGAGCUAAUACCGGAUAAUAUAUUGAACCGCAUGGUUCAAUAGUGAAAGACGGUUUUGCUGUCACUUAUAGAUGGAUCCGCGCCGCAUUAGCUAGUUGGUAAGGUAACGGCUUACCAAGGCAACGAUGCGUAGCCGACCUGAGAGGGUGAUCGGCCACACUGGAACUGAGACACGGUCCAGACUCCUACGGGAGGCAGCAGUAGGGAAUCUUCCGCAGUGGGCGAAAGCCUGACGGAGCAACGCCGCGUGAGUGAUGAAGGUCUUCGGAUCGUAAAACUCUGUUAUUAGGGAAGAACAAAUGUGUAAGUAACUAUGCACGUCUUGACGGUACCUAAUCAGAAAGCCACGGCUAACUACGUG